UCAUCACAUGCCCAGAGGAAGAGCACCGCACACAACGCACGCGUGCUUUUGAUGAGCAUCUCCGCUGAUGAACAUCCACCCUCACUCUCCUCCCAAAAUGAACGCCUGAAAAGCUUGCGGUGCCCUGUACCCGGCUCACAGUCCC